rnacentral:rRNA from 1 species
AGUGAACGCUGGCGGUAGGCCUAACACAUGCAAGUCGAACGGCAGCACAGUAAGAGCUUGCUCUUACGGGUGGCGAGUGGCGGACGGGUGAGGAAUACAUCGGAAUCUACUUUUUCGUGGGGGAUAACGUAGGGAAACUUACGCUAAUACCGCAUACGACCUACGGGUGAAAGCAGGGGAUCUUCGGACCUUGCGCGAUUGAAUGAGCCGAUGUCGGAUUAGCUAGUUGGCGGGGUAAAGGCCCACCAAGGCGACGACCCGUAGCUGGUCUGAGAGGAUGAUCAGCCACACUGGAACUGAGACACGGUCCAGACUCCUACGGGAGGCAGCAGUGGGGAAUAUUGGACAAUGGGCGCAAGCCUGAUCCAGCCAUACCGCGUGGGUGAAGAAGGCCUUCGGGUUGUAAAGCCCUUUUGUCGGGAAAGAAAAGCAGCAGGUUAAUACCCCGCUGUUCUGACGGUACCCAAAGAAUAAGCACCGGCUAACUUCGUG